CCUCUUUCUUGCUGAUUAGAAUGCGCAUGUGAUGCCAGGAAGUAGAGCAGCCAUCUUGCAACCAGCAAGACACAUACUGGCGGCAGUGCGAAGCUCGGAGGAGGCCUCGGUGAUUGAGGACCCUUGAUGAUUGAGUACAGAUUGAACUGCUCAUCUAUUCAGUUAUCUUUAACCAUUUUCCGCUGUAACAACCACGUGUUAGAGGGGAAAAAGAAAGCCCUAUUUACUUACGCCUUUGUGAUCAGAUUACUUGAAGUUUAUCCACUGCCUGUGAUGGUGACCAAGAGAAUACAGCAGAAAUGAGGCUGCACCGGCUUCUGGGCCGCUUCUGCUUCCUCUUCACGGGAAGUGCUCCUGAGCCACCACGUGAGCAGCUUGGUUACUUUGCAGAAAAGGUGAUGUGGAGGGCACAAGGGGCCCAGGCAAGCUGAGGCUUCCCACCUCCUUGUCAAGGCAUUGAGCCCAUGAGAUGGGUCAUCUUGAAGCUUGCAGGCCAGCCCAUCCUCCAGCCAAAUACCUGAGCGACCCCAGUGGAUGCCACGUGGAGCAGAAGAAUUGCAUACCUGAACCCUGAAGUAAUUCCUGACCCCCAAAUUGUGAAAUAUAGUUAACGUGGCCGUUGUUUUUCGCUGCUGACAUGAGGGGGAUUUAUUACGCAGCGAUGAUAACUGGAGUGCCCCAGUUCAUCACUGUUCCUCCUCUUUGUCGUCUCUCUUUGUCACUGGCAUCUAUUUUUUCCCUUCUUCUCCGCAGGACAGCCUCAUAGCUUCCCCAACUUUGGUUUUACCCAAAUGUUAUUUAUUAUGAUAACAGUGGUUCAGAGAAUAAUAUAGAAAGUUAAUUGCUAGACACAUUGCUUAAUAGACUAGAAUGUGAAUUGUAAUCAUUACGUUUGGAUGUUUUCAGGAUUUAGGUCUGUCUUCUACAUGGUGAGACAAUGUAUUCACUUGGAAAUAGAGUUUUUAAAAGCUCUAAUCAACAUUAUAAUUACUUAUGUUCAUGGAAGUAUUGGUAUUACUAAGCCCUAUGGCACCUCAAGGUUUGACUUUCUUUUCCAUUCAGAUCUGUCAGAAUUCAUAAAGCACAACCUGAAUUAAUGCAAAGAAAUAUAUCUAACCUGCAGUGAUGUAAUUAGUGUCCAAAAACUUAUAGGAAAAAAAUAACACUUAAAAAAUAUUCAAAGCAGAAUCAAGUUUGGAAUUCUGUGUUUCUCAGGGGGAUUUAGAGAGAUGAGAAAAGAAAAGGUGAAAAGGUUGCAGUUGUUUGCAUAGUCGUGCCGUUUUGAUUUUUCUUCUAAAAUUUUAG
ensembl:lncRNA